GACGAACGCUGGCGGCGUGCUUAACACAUGCAAGUCGAACGGAAAGGCUCCAGCUUGCUGGAGUACUCGAGUGGCGAACGGGUGAGUAACACGUGGGUAAUCUGCCCUGCACUCUGGGAUAAGCCUGGGAAACUGGGUCUAAUACUGGAUAUGACCUUUCUCCUUAUGGGGGUUGGUGGAAAGUUUUUCGGUGUGGGAUGAGCCCGCGGCCUAUCAGCUUGUUGGUGGGGUGGUGGCCUCCCAAGGCUUUGACGGGUAGCCGGCCUGAGAGGGUGACCGGCCACAUUGGGACUGAGAUACGGCCCAGACUCCUACGGGAGGCAGCAGUGGGGAAUAUUGCACAAUGGGCGGAAGCCUGAUGCAGCAACGCCGCGUGAGGGAUGACGGCCUUCGGGUUGUAAACCGCUUUCAGCAGGGACGAAGCGUAAGUGACGGUAAUGGGAAAAGAAGCACCGGCUAACUAUGUG
rnacentral:rRNA from 1 species